rnacentral:rRNA from 1 species
AUUGAACGCUGGCGGCAGGCCUAACACAUGCAAGUCGAACGGAGUGGCGGACGGGUGAGUAAUGCCUAGGAAUCCGCCUGGUCGGGGGGGAUCACGUCUGGAAACCGGCGCUAAUACCGCAUACUCUCAGUUGAGGCUAGGUCGGAUUAGCUAGGUGGGGGGGAAAUGGCCUACUAAGGGGACGAUCCGUAACUGGUCUGAGAGGAUGAUGAGUCACACUGGAACUGGGACACGGUCCGGACUCCUACGGGGGGCAGCAGGGGGGAAUAUUGGACAAGGAGGGAAAGCCUGAGCCAGCCAGGCGGGGGGGGUGAAGAAGGUCUUUGGAUUGUAAAGCACUUUAAGUUGGAAGGCGUUACCAACAGAGUAAGCACCGGCUAACUUCGUGCCAGCCGCCGCGGUAAUUC